GUAGGUGGCAAGCGUUGUCCGGAAUUAUGGGCGUAAAGCGCGCGCAGGCGGGGUUUUUAAGUCUGAUGUGAAAGCCCACGGGCUCAACCGUGGAGGGUCAUUGGAAACUGGAGAACUUGAGUACAGAAGAGGUAAGCGGAAUUCCACGUGUAGCGGUGAAAUGCGUAGAGAUGUGGAGGAACACCAGUGGCGAAGGCGGCUUUCUGGUCUGUAACUGACGCUGAGGCGCGAAAGCGUGGGGAGCAAACAGGAUUAGAUACCCUGGUAGUCCACGCCGUAAACGAUGAGUGCUAAGUGUUAGGGGGUUUCCGCCCCUUAGUGCUGCAGCUAACGCAUUAAGCACUCCGCCUGGGGAGUACGGCCGCAAGGCUG
rnacentral:rRNA from 1 species